ACCAUCUUUCUUCACUCUCUCUAGUCUCUACCGUCCAAAACAACCUCCAGUGCCACCUGCGACCACCACCACACACCCUAAUCCGACCACUUCACUUGAAAACAAGCGUCUGAUGUACCACCAGACCUGGCACCUCCACUCGCCGGACCACCAACAUCGAUUCCUCUAGCGACAUCGAAGAUAUAGGAUUCUGAAGAUGUCGGAUCGUUGUCAUCGGAUAGAUCUGAGCCGAAACAGCUUAAUGUGAUCUGAAAACAGGUUCCGUCAGUGACGGUUGUUCUCCGGCUCUCUGUUCACUCAUUUUCGAUUGGGGGUAUGUGAAAGUAUGAUUGAAGUUAAAUCUGAGUGAUUUGUGUGUUGAUUUAGAAAUCUUCAUUUUAUUGGAAGUAAACAAAAGCUUCAAGAAAUCUUCAAUUUUUAGAAUUCUUCAUUUUUUUUCCGUUGUCUUCUUGUAAAGCAUUUAAAUUUGACACCUUACUUUUUUGGAGUUUUAGUUAGUGUUGGUGAUGAAUAAAAUUGGUGGAAUUAUCAAAGAAAUUGAUUUGAUUGUGAUCGAUUAG
rnacentral:lncRNA from 1 species